GCUCGGCGUGCAGGGCCUCGACAUGGGCGCCGUUUACCAUCCGAUACCUACUAUCGGCCUAUGACCUACGAUACUCACGCCCCUCUCGCGGCCGCAAUAAAUCGCGCCGCGCGAUUUUCCCGGGGGCUCGUACCUUUGCGCGUCCGACCUGUGUUGUUUCGUUUGAUUUCGAUCGGUCCGUAGUCGUUUCUUUCUCUGCGUUACUUACUCCCGACAACAAGGUUUUUCUCGGUCUCGUUGUAGCACGGAUAAGUCGUAGGGAUAAGUUCAACAAUCCGCGCGUGUCGAAGAAUGAUGUAGUGAGUAGUGAUUUUAAAAUGCAAACGCGAUAGUCUCUCUAAUUUUCUUUAGAGAUUGUAUUUUGAUAUGUGCCAAAAAUUAGAUUCUUCAGAAUGAAUCGCAUAAAUUACACGGUUCGGAGCUCGAUAAGUUGACUAUAUUUUUAUAAAAGGAAUCAGUAUUUUAUCGAGUCUAUUUAAUGUAAGACUCAAUUGGCCAACGUAUUGUUCAAGAUUUUGACUUCUUGUUAAUUAUAGAUUCCAAUAAAGAACUAGUGUCUCUCAUAGCGUAUGAGUUAUUUUAUUCAACGAAAUAUUACUAGAUUUUAAACGAUAUUUUGUACAUUCCUCAAUUGAGACUGUUUUAGACUUCGUUUUGAAGUAGUCAACGAAGAAAAUCGAAAGUAUUAAUUAAUAUAUGUCGAUUAGAGGGGUGAUCGAACGACCGGAUGUGAUAGAUAUCGAUAUCGAAAAGUGCAAUAUCGUAGAUUAGAAAGACAGCUCGUUCUUAUUUGCCGGUUUGAGAUACAUAUCGAGGACGCGAUACUGUUCGCGGUUUACAAUGUUCGGCAAAACUGUGAUCGUAGAAACAGAACGCGUAGCAAAUUGCAGAUAUACUCGACGCGUAGUAGUUACCUAUGUGGCCUCAUUUUCUUGUAGCGAAAAAUUUAGACAACGAGACGAACGUAUCACAUAAAAAAAGACUGGUAGUUAUUUCGUAGAUAAUUAGUAAACGCAGGUAGUAGGACAAUAAAAAAACGAAGUGUUCAAAUUUAGAGAAAAAAAAACGGACCGAAAUGAUCCAAUGUUGCUCAAUAGUAGAUCGCCGUCGCGUUGAACGUAUCUCCUUCGGGGAUUGUCUUUCAAUUUAUAUAUUUGCAAUGUUCAAUGAAACGCAUAAUAUGCAAAAACAAUUUAAUCAUCCAUGAUAUGUAGCAAAAAUUAAAAAAUUUAUUGCUUCUUAAAAUAAAUGAUACUAAAUAUAGGAAUAAAAUUUAUGGAACUCUUGAUCUUUCGAUCUUUGCAACAUAAUAAUCUAUUCUGACGUUUCUGGAUGUGAAACAUAUUUCUGCACGAUCAUGAUAAUAUUUUUAAUUCGAAACUGAUAUAUAACAUAUGUUAGAAGCUUAUAAAAGAUUGAAACUAUAAUAACAAUUUAAGAUAUUUGAUGUAUUGUGGUGUUUAAUCAAAAAGUAUAUAUAUAUACACUUUGAAAGAUUAAAUAUAAUUAUAGAAAUAUAUAUUUUAAUUAAUAAGGAUAGAUAAAAUGUACGAAGAGAAGGUAACUGGUAUAAGUCAUGUCUAAUCAAGUUUCGAUCAUCUGCCAACAUCGAUAAUUAAGUUCUCGGCGUCCAUCACACUUGCCGUUAAAAGCAUUUCAAUUAAAACGCUGUAGAACUUAACGCCGACAUCGAGCCUUCAACGAAAGAGAAACGAUAGAACAGGAAAUCGAAGGACAGGUGAGCUCCUGUCGUGCGACGAUUUUCAGGUCACCCCGAUGGGAAAACGAAACGACAAUUCCCCGAUGGAGAGAUCGUAUGUUCGCCCGGUGGCUGUCAAUUCGUUGGUAGAACUUAGUUGAAAUUUUAGCGACGCGAACAAAGAGCUCUAAACGUAGAAAUGGCCGUCUGCGAGGUUACGCGCGACGAGACCGGAUGAUAAUUAAAAGCCGCGAUGUGGAAUAUGCGGGAGAGA